rnacentral:misc_RNA from 1 species
GGGUAAAAGUCGUAACAAGGUCUCCGUUGGUGAACCAGCGGAGGGAUCAUUACAGGACUCGCAAGACUCCUACAACCCUGUGAACUUAACUAUAAGCACGUUGCUUCGGCGGGUGUCUCGGAGGGGGUUCUCCCUCCCCGAGACGCUAAACCCGCCGGCAGCCUACUAUACUCUGUCUCUUUGCGUUGGCAUCUCGAGUACAAUCAAACAAGUUAAAACUUUCAACAACGGAUCUCUUGGUUCUG